rnacentral:misc_RNA from 1 species
GAAGUGCGAUAAGUAAUGUGAAUUGCAGAAUUCCGUGAAUCAUCGAAUCUUUGAACGCAAAUUGCACUUUCUGGUAUUCCGGAGAGUAUGCCUGUUUGAGGGUCAGUGUAAUAAAAAUAAAUCGUGGUUGUUUGCCACCUUUUCGUGGUGACGCCUCGGAAUUGAGUCGUCUUUACCCCUUUCGGGGUUAAGUGACUUAAAAUUUUUUCAUACGAUUUCGAAACGUAUUUAAUGCAUUAACGUACGUUCACGAAUAUCGAAUGGUUUUAUUAGGUGCGGUCAUUUUCAUGAAUUCGCGUCUAUAAUUUUUUUUUUUUUGACCUCAAAUCAGGUAAGAGUACCCGCUGAACUUAA